rnacentral:tRNA from 1 species
AAUGGAAUGCCUGACUAAAGGAUUAUCGUGAUAGGAUAAAUAAUGUAAGAAAUUACUUCCAUUA